AGUCCAAUGGUCUAGUGGUAUGACGUUCGCUUCACACGCGAAAGGUCCUGGGUUCGAUCCCCUGUUGGACUA
rnacentral:tRNA from 1 species